rnacentral:rRNA from 1 species
AUUGAACGCUGGCGGCAGGCCUAACACAUGCAAGUCGAGCGGAUGAAGGGAGCUUGCUCCUGGAUUCAGCGGCGGACGGGUGAGUAAUGCCUAGGAAUCUGCCUGGUAGUGGGGGAUAACGUCCGGAAACGGGCGCUAAUACCGCAUACGUCCUGAGGGAGAAAGUGGGGGAUCUUCGGACCUCACGCUAUCAGAUGAGCCUAGGUCGGAUUAGCUAGUUGGUGGGGUAAAGGCCUACCAAGGCGACGAUCCGUAACUGGUCUGAGAGGAUGAUCAGUCACACUGGAACUGAGACACGGUCCAGACUCCUACGGGAGGCAGCAGCGGGGAAUAUUAGACAAUGGGCGAAAGCCUGAUCCAGCCAUGCCGCGUGUGUGAAGAAGGUCUUCGGAUUGUAAAGCACUUUAAGUUGGGAGGAAGGGCAGUAAGUUAAUACCUUGCUGUUUUGACGUUACCAACAGAAUAAGCACCGGCUAACUUCGUG